CACGUAGGGCGCAAGCGUUGUCCGGAAUUAUUGGGCGUAAAGAGCUCGUAGGCGGACUGUCACGUCUGCUGUGAAAAGCUGGGGCUUAACCCUGGCCUUGCAGUGGAUACGGGCAGACUAGAGGUAGGUAGGGGAGAAUGGAAUUCCCGGUGUAGCGGUGAAAUGCGUAGAUAUCUGGAGGAACACCGGUGGCGAAGGCGGCAUCCUGGACCAACACUGACGCUGAGUGAGCGAAAGCCAGGGGAGCAAACGGG
rnacentral:rRNA from 1 species